CGGACGGGUGAGUAACGCGUGGGGAACCUGCCCUGUACCGGGGGAUAGCAGCCGGAAACGGCUGAUAAUACCGCAUAAGCGCACGAAUGUCGCAUGACAUGGUGUGAAAAACUCCGGUGGUAUAGGAUGGACCCGCGUCUGAUUAGCCAGUUGGUGGGGUAAAAGCCUACCAAAGCGAAGAUCAGUAGCCGAGUUGAGAGACUGACCGGCCACAUUGGGACUGAGACACGGCCCAGACUCCUACGGGAGGCAGCAGGU
rnacentral:rRNA from 1 species